rnacentral:misc_RNA from 1 species
GGUAACCAUUCUUUUGCCAACAUUACUUACCGGAUCAAGCAAGGUGAUAGCUACUACUUUGUUUCGACCACUUCAUUUGAAAAUCUUACUAAUUGGGAAGCAGUGGAAGUUCUUAACCCCAACUUGGAUCCAAACCUCUUGUAUCCUGGUGACAAAGCGAUUUUUCCUUUGUUCUGUAAGUGCCCCUCAAAGACUCAUAUGAAGAAUGGAAUUCAAUAUCUUAUUACUUACGUGUGGCAGCCUGAUGAUGAUGUCUUAAAAGUGGCUGCUAAGCUAAAUGCAUCUCCACAUGAUAUUGCAAUAGAAAACAACUACCAAAACUUCAGUGUUGCGGUGCAUCAUCCACUGCUGAUCCCAGUGACUCAAUUGCCAGUUCUCUCUCAACCAUCUCCCUCUCCACCUCAAAGAAGAAAGCAUCAUUGGAUCAUCAUAGUAGUUGCAAGCAUAGCUGGUGCCCUUUUGAUCUUCCUUCUUCUGUAUUUGCUGGUUCAUGUUCAUUGUUCUGGUAACAAGAAGAAGAAGAUGAUGACUUUGUAUCGUAAUGGUUCCUGUUUGGAGACUGUGGAUCUUCUUCAAACAAAAGAGCUCAAGCAAUAUGACAGUUUUGAACCUAAGAUCAUACAAGAUAAGCUACUUCCUGGGGUUUCAGGCUAUUUAGGCAAGCCAAUCAUGUAUGAGGUCAAGGCGAUUAUGAAGGCAACCAUGGACCUACAUGAACACUACAGAAUAGGAGGAUCAGUAUAUAGAGCCAACAUCAAUGGUCAGGUCCUAGCAGUAAAGAAAACAAAGGAAGAUGUCACAGAAGAACUAAAGAUUCUGCAGAAAGUGAAUCAUGCAAAUCUAGUGAAAUUAAUUGGAAUUUCAUCCAACGCAGAUGGGAAUUGCUUCUUGGUUUAUGAAUAUGCAGAAAAUGGGUCACUAGACAAAUGGUUGUACCUAAACUCCGCAUCCCCCUCAAGCUUUGUAGCCUUCCUCUCCUGGAGUCAGAGGUUACAUAUAGCACUAGAUGUGGCCAGUGGGCUGCAAUACAUGCAUGAACAUAUUCAACCAAGCAUUGUCCACAUGGACAUAAGAACAAGUAAUAUACUUCUCGACUCCAGAUUCAAGGCAAAGAUAGCAAAUUUCUCAGUGGCUAAACUUGCUAGAGACUCUCUGCUGCCAAAAAUAGAUGUUUUUGCUUUUGGGGUUGUUCUGUUGGAAUUGCUUUCUGGAAAGAAAGCUAUGGUAACAAAAGCGAAUGGUGAGAUUUCCUUGUUGUGGAAGGAAAUGAAAGACGUCCUGGAAGUCGCAGAGAGAAGAGUGGAGAGGUUAAAGAAGUGGAUGGAUCCAAACUUGGAGAGCUUCUAUCCAAUCGAUGGUGCCCUAAGUUUGGCAAACUUGGCAAGGGCAUGCACGCUGGAUAAGUCUUCAGCAAGGCCAAGCAUGGCAGAAAUUGUCUUCAACCUCACUGUUCUCACGCAGUCAUCUCCAGAGACAUUAGAGAAGUCAUGGACUUCCGGGCUAGAUGCAGAAGAUAUUCAGAUAACCAGUCCUGUCAUAGCUCGUUGAUUUAACAUAAAAUAUACAAGUCCAAAGAGAUUUCCUCAUGCUUAAAGCUCAUGUGAA